ensembl:lncRNA
CCCAGGGGCACGGCCCAGCCCCGGGCACCGGCGAGGCCUCAGGUGGGCGGCAGAUGGUGCGGCCCGGCACAACAGGUCUGGCAGCGUGGCCCCAGGCUCAGCCCCGAGCCCGAGGGAAAUGAGAGGGAACAGAACAAGCGGAAGAAUGCAGCAGUGCGAGCUGCGUCCUGCCUGCCUCAGCCACCAGAAAUGUCCCGGGGGGCCACGGAGAGUCCUGGAGGCUGCCGUGCAUCGCCCAGGCAGCACCUGGGCCGGGGUGUGGGCUCUGAUUUGCAGUGCCAGUCGCACAGUGGGUCCGUCCCAUCACCCAGCUGGGACAGCGGUACGCCUGGGGAGCUGCUGCCCGUGUGGAGAUGCUUAUAGAGAUACCUCUAUAAAUUAUAUAUACAUAGAAUAUUUACACGGUCAUAGAAUCAUAGCAUGACUUGGGUUGGAAUGGACCUUAAAGAUCAUCCGGUUUCAACUGCCAAUAAUUAUAUGCGAUAUGUAACAUUAUGUUGUGAGGAAGAG